rnacentral:rRNA from 1 species
GACGAACGUUGGCGGCGUGCUUAACACAUGCAAGUCGAACGGAAAGGCCCUGCUUUUGUGGGGUGCUCGAGUGGCGAACGGGUGAGUAACACGUGAGUAACCUGCCCUUGACUUUGGGAUAACUUCAGGAAACUGGGGCUAAUACCGGAUAGGAGCUCCUGCUGCAUGGUGGGGGUUGGAAAGUUUCGGCGGUUGGGGAUGGACUCGCGGCUUAUCAGCUUGUUGGUGGGGUAGUGGCUUACCAAGGCUUUGACGGGUAGCCGGCCUGAGAGGGUGACCGGCCACAUUGGGACUGAGAUACGGCCCAGACUCCUACGGGAGGCAGCAGUGGGGAAUAUUGCACAAUGGGCGGAAGCCUGAUGCAGCAACGCCGCGUGCGGGAUGACGGCCUUCGGGUUGUAAACCGCUUUCGCCUGUGACGAAGCGUGAGUGACGGUAAUGGGUAAAGAAGCACCGGCUAACUACGUGCCAGCAGCCGCGGUGAUACGUAGGGUGCGAGCGUUGUCCGGAUUUAUUGGGCGUAAAGGGCUCGUAGGUGGUUGAUCGCGUCGGAAGUGUAAUCUUGGGGCUUAACCCUGAGCGUGCUUUCGAUACGGGUUGACUUGAGGAAGGUAGGGGAGAAUGGAAUUCCUGGUGGAGCGGUGGAAUGCGCAGAUAUCAGGAGGAACACCAGUGGCGAAGGCGGUUCUCUGGGCCUUUCCUGACGCUGAGGAGCGAAAGCGUGGGGAGCGAACAGGCUUAGAUACCCUGGUAGUCCACGCUGUAAACGGUGGGUACUAGGUGUGGGGUCCAUUCCACGGGUUCCGUGCCGUGGCUAACGCUUUAAGUACCCCGCCUGGGGAGUACGGCCGCAAGGCUAAAACUCAAAGGAAUUGACGGGGCCCCGCACAAGCGGCGGAGCAUGCGGAUUAAUUCGAUGCAACGCGUAGAACCUUACCUGGGUUUGACAUGGAUCGGGAGUGCUCAGAGAUGGGUGUGCCUCUUUUGGGGUCGGUUCACAGGUGGUGCAUGGCUGUCGUCAGCUCGUGUCGUGAGAUGUUGGGUUAAGUCCCGCAACGAGCGCAACCCUUGUUCACUGUUGCCAGCACGUUAUGGUGGGGACUCAGUGGAGACCGCCGGGGUCAACUCGGAGGAAGGUGGGGAUGACGUCAAGUCAUCAUGCCCCUUAUGUCCAGGGCUUCACGCAUGCUACAAUGGCUGGUACAGAGAGUGGCGAGCCUGUGAGGGUGAGCGAAUCUCGGAAAGCCGGUCUCAGUUCGGAUUGGGGUCUGCAACUCGACCUCAUGAAGUCGGAGUCGCUAGUAAUCGCAGAUCAGCAACGCUGCGGUGAAUACGUUCCCGGGGCU